rnacentral:lncRNA from 1 species
GCUGACACAUCUUCCGUUGGCAUCAACACCACUGUGGAAGCAACCGGUGAUAUCUUAAGUCGGCAUAGAUAGCUCUGUCACCGUAGAGUCAGUCGGUCUCGCAGUAUCUUCCGUUGGCAUCAACAGCACUGCGGCGAGGACGACUGGUUACCUAUCCAAGUCUCGGUCGAGAAGGAUUUCCGAAUCCCUAUUGGUCGAGGUCAUCUCAUCAGCCUUCUCGGCGAAGUGAGGUGUUACCAGGUUACUGUAUUCGGCACAUUGACAGCCGAAUUUGAGAUUGAACUUCGCAAAUUAGCAGCCUUGUCUUCAGGCUCUAGAACCCAAGAGGCCGAGAAUUGUUCAUUCCUCGGCCGCAAUCGCAAGACACAGAAGUCAGCGGCGCGCUCGACGCAACAUCAUCAAAUUUACUCAUCGGCCGAGCUCGGCCGACGAGUUGGCACGCCCCGCAAUCACCGAAUGACGUAGUUAGCUUAGAAAAUACUCGGCCUGCGCGCCACGUAGGUUUUUGUAGUUUCUAGGGUCAACAUUUUGGCACGCCCAGUGGGACCUAGUGCUAAAACUACGAAGUUCACAUGAUAGAUCAAGAUGUCAAUCUGGCUCCAUUUAGCCGAUUGCACGAGCUCCUAGAGGAAUUGAAAAAAUACAAUGAGGAACAAAAAAGAUCUUUGGAAGUGGAAAAAGUUCUUCGUGGCCAUAGAGAGAUGCAAAAGUCAUUCGCUUACAUGGUGAGAAUAAAAGCUCCUGUUACCUUGCAAGAGCAAUGGGUAAAUGAAGACAAGGCUCGAUUUAAUGCAUGGCUAGAUGAAGAACGUUUUCCUUACGUUUCUGAUUACAGAUCAAUUCCAUUUGAAAAAUGGUUAGGUCCAAAGGUCGGGGGGCAAUUUUUCGCUCCAGCCACAAUCAAAAUUCGGCCUCAAAAAAUUGUUAAGGUGGCCGAAGAAAUAUGUAGGCCACCUGUUGUUUCGGUCGAGACUCAAAGUGUGGUAGGCCUAAAAGAAAAAGUUGAAGUUUCCGAGCCAAAAAUCGACUCAAAAAAUAAUUCGUCAGAAGAGUGCUCCAAUGACGAACAGUGCCAAGACAUGGUCUUAGAUGCCGAAACUAUGACAAUCGAUAUGGUUAUUGGUGAUAAAGCCGAUAUGGAGAAAUCUCAUUCGGCUAAGUUGCUCGAGUUAAAAGCCAAAAUUUGUGAAAUAAUUAUGCCUGGGGGGCAUAAUAAUUGUUCAACACAUUCAGCAGCCGAUGAUAAAAAAUAUUUCGCCAAGUCAAAAAUAUUUGGAGGAAAUUCUUUAUUCAGCCUAGAGCGAAAUCAAUUUGAAGAUUUUGUUAUUACAAGAUCUCGACUUGGAAUAAAGCAUCGUUGGCCUCCUCCUGACUACGGUUCGGCCACUUUUCUUUUCGUUUGUUAAAUAUAUAUAUUAUUUUCUUAAACAUACGGCUAUGCAAGCCGAUGCGUAAGAAAAUAGGGGGCAAUGCCUCGGUAAAAAUUUUGGUCGAAUAAAAGAAAGUUUGGCCGAGUACGAUGAGUUUGGCCGCAUAUAUAUAUACCAAUUCCCCUCGGCCUCGACUUCGGCUCACUUUACAAAAUUAUAAAAGAGGCGGCCAAAGGAUUUUAGUCAGGCAUGGGACCUUUCUGCUUCGGAGCUCAUCAUUCUUUAUUGCAUCACCUCAAAUUUUCUACCAAGAUCAUGGAGUUAUGUUCCUUGCGUAUCAACAGUACAGGCCGAACCAAAAUGACGGCCUGAUAAUCUACAGUUUAAAACAACCAAUAUGGUCCGUGGAAGGCAAGAGGAUUCUGCUCUCGACCAUAUAUAUUUUCGACCAUAGCUUUGGUCAUCAAAUUAAGGUGGUUAGUCGUUAAGCCAAAAACUGUGAUAAAAAUUUGCAUGGCCGACAACAUUAUUCCAAGGCCAAGAUUUGAUUUUGUGUGUGUGUGCAUAUAUAUAUAUAUAUAUAUAUAUAUAUAUAUAUAUAUAUAUAUAUAUGCAUAGCUAAUGAUGUUGGUCUUCGGCCACUCUAAGACCUCGGCCAAUGAUGAGUCCCUCGACCACUAAGCAUAUGGCUAAUGAUCCUCGGCCACUCAAUAAUAAACCUCGGCCAACGAUGAUGUUCCUCGGCCAACUUUUUGCCGAUAUAUGUUAGCCAAGAGGGUUGGUCAAUAACAAAUACUGGGGAAAUCGCCGAGCUGGGCACAAAUGACUAAUUUCCUUAACCGUUCGGCUUACGGGCCGAAGCUCAAGGAAACUGGGGGGCAAUGUUUGGACCCGAUUUUACACCAUCGGCCCAAGUAAUCGAGACCGUUGGGUAAGCAAUUUUAAAGGAUAGUAUUAUGAUUUUUAUCGUAAUAUUUAUCCGUUAAUAUUAAUUACUCUUGGCAUAUUCUUAUUAUAUUUUCAAGCAAGCAGUACAGUUCGAGUGGGCUUGGAAUUCUUGUUAUCAGAUUGAGAUAACAUGAUGGGUGUGAUUAGAAUUGUCAAGAUGCAUGGUUUUCUUCUAUGCGUGGGAUGCCAAGAUGAAAUCUCUGAUAAUGGAGCCGCUCAUAUCCUAGAUGGGAUAAUUAUUAGCAUAAAAAUAUAUGCUAAUAUAUGCAAAUUGGUUGGCUGACUCCAUCAAAUCCUACGGCCAAGGACCAAUAAGGAUGUGGAGAUUUUGAAUUAAACAAAGUUUUAUUUGGUUGGAUAACUGCAUGAUGACCUCAUGCGAUUAUAUUUGUUUGAUCCCGUCAAACGUGGAUGCUUUUUCAUGGUCUUUUUAAAUUGGUAAUGAUCCAAUUUGAGAUAAGGGCUGAUGGGAGUUUAAUCCGCACAUGCAAACCACGCCACAUAUCAAAUACAAUUCUUUGAAGAUCAAGCCACGUCAGGCAUGCUCGUUCCUAUAAAUACAAGGCUACAAACAAUGGAAAAUGACCCCUACAAAAUCAAUACAAAAUUGCCCUGCGCAAACUCUCACAACUUGUGAUUUUUCUUUUUCCUUUCUUCGCUGACACAUCUUCCGUUGGCAUCAACACCACUGUGGAAGCAACCGGUGAUAUCUUAAGUCGGCAUAGAUAGCUCUGUCACCGUAGAGUCAGUCGGUCUCGCAGUAUCUUCCGUUGGCAUCAACAGCACUGCGGCGAGGACGACUGGUUACCUAUCCAAGUCUCGGUCGAGAAGGAUUUCCGAAUCCCUAUUGGUCGAGGUCAUCUCAUCAGCCUUCUCGGCGAAGUGAGGUGUUACCAGGUUACUGUAUUCGGC